rnacentral:rRNA from 1 species
ACGAACGCUGGCGGCGUGCCUAAUACAUGCAAGUCGAGCGGGUGUUUGGAAGCUGCUUCCGAAGCAACCUAGCGGCGGACGGGUGAGUAAUACGUAGGCAACCUGCCCCUCAGCCUGGGAUAACUAGCGGAAACGUUAGCUAAUACCGGAUAAUUUGCUUCAUCGCAUGAAGGAGCAAUGAAAGACGGAGCAAUCUGUCACUAAGGGAUGGGCCUACGGCGCAUUAGCUAGUUGGUAGGGUAAUGGCCUACCAAGGCGACGAUGCGUAGCCGACCUGAGAGGGUGAACGGCCACACUGGGACUGAGACACGGCCCAGACUCCUACGGGAGGCAGCAGUAGGGAAUCUUCCGCAAUGGACGCAAGUCUGACGGAGCAACGCCGCGUGAGUGAUGAAAGGUUUUCGGAUCGUAAAGCUCUGUUGCCAGGGAAGAACGUCUUGGAGAGUAACUGCUCUAAGAGUGACGGUACCUGAGAAGAAAGCCCCGGCUAACUACGUGCCAGCAGCAGC